GGGGAAUAUUGGACAAUGGGCGAAAGCCUGAUCCAGCGAUGCCGCGUGAGUGAUGAAGGCCUUAGGGUUGUAAAGCUCUUUUACCCGGGAUGAUAAUGACAGUACCGGGAGAAUAAGCUCCGGCUAACUUCGUGCCAGCAGCCGCGGUAAUACGAGGGGAGCUAGCGUUAUUCGGAAUUACUGGGCGUAAAGCGCACGUAGGCGGCUUUGUAAGUAAGGGGUGAAAGCCCAGAGCUCAACUCUGGAAUAGCCUUUUAGACUGCAUCGCUUGAAUGCAGGAGAGGUGAGUGGAAUUCCGAGUGUAGAGGUGAAAUUCGUAGAUAUUCGGAAGAACACCAGUGGCGAAGGCGGCUCACUGGACUGGUAUUGACGCUGAGGUGCGAAAGCGUGGGGAGCAAAC
rnacentral:rRNA from 1 species